UGGAAGACUUAUGGGAAAGGAGGAGAAUAGUCUAGUUGGGUUGACCCUAACAUUCCAGCCUUCUAACAGAUAAUAGAAAAGCAGUGUUGUUCUCAUCAGUCUGCUUUAAGCUGAGAAGGGGCAGUGGUUAGUGGGAGAGGCUGUAAGGUGGAGAGUAGAAGAGAGGAUAAUAUAAAGAUCACGCCAAGUGAGUUUGUAAGAUUGGGUAAGGUAUUUGAACUCCUUAAUAUAAGUGUCGGGAUCAGAGAAAAAGGACUCCAGAUGUUUUUCAAUUUGGAAAUGGUCAGAGAGGGAGAAGGGAACAUGGAAAUGCAAAUGAUCCCUUCAGUCCCAGCCACCUCUCAAAGGAUGGAGGUGGUGAAGAUAUCACUGAACUCAUGAAACCAUAGGAAUCAAGUCUUCUGAAGUAGCACCAUUAUCAACUUCCACAGCAUGGCUGGAGCUGAAGCAGCUGAGAUGCCGGGCACCAUGUCCCAAGGCAGCAAAGAACAGCAGGGCCCUGGGUCUGGUCCACACAACCAUUUUUCCCUCCUAGGCCUCUAGGACUGUGAUGGGAGGGGAUGCUGCAAAGGUCUCUGAAAUGCCUUGGAAGCAUUUUCUCCAUUGUCUUGGAUAUUAACAUUUGGCUUCUCUUUAUGCAAAUUUCUGAAGUUGGCUUGAAUUUCUCCUGAUUUUUUUUUCUACCACAUGGCAAGGCUGCAAAUUUUCUAAAUUUUAUGCUCUGUUUCUCUUUUAAAGGUAAGUACUAUUUGCUUAUGCAAAUGAGUGUAGCUUUUAGAAGCAGCCAGCUCACAUCCUGAAUGUUUUGCUGCUUAGAAAUUUCUUCCAUCACGUAUCUUAAAUCAUCUCUCUCAAGUUCAAAGUUCAACAGGUUUCUAUAGCAGGGGAACAUUGCCACAAGUCUUGUUGCUAGAGCAUAGCAAAAGUGACCCCUUCUCCAUUCCCCAGUAAGUUCCUCAUUUCCAUUUAAGACAUCCUUGGCCUCCACUUCACUGUCCAUAUAGCUAUCAACAUUUUGGUCACAAUCAUUCAACCAGUCUCUAGGAAGUUCCAGACUUUCCCUCAUCUUCCUGUCUUCUUCUGAGCCCUCAAAACUAUUUCACCUCUGGCCAUUAUUCAGUUCCAAAGCUGCUUCCACAUUUUCAGGUAUCUUUACAGCAAUACCCUUCUGCUCUGGUACCAAUCUUCUGUAUUGGUCUGUUCUUAUACUGCUGUAAAGACAUACCUGUGACUGGGUAAUUUAUAAAGAUAAGAGGUUGAAUCAGCUCCUGUUCUGUGGGCUGUUCAGACUUCUGCUUUUGGGGUGGCCUCAGGAAACUUACAAUCAUGGUCAAAGUUGAAGAGGAAGAAGGUACAUCAUCACAUGACCUGAGAAGGGGAGACAGAGAGAGAGAAGGAGGAGGUGGUACACAAUUUCAAACAACCAGAUCUUGUUAAAAACUCUAUCAUGAGAACAGCAAGGGGGAAAUCCAAUCCCGUGAUUCAAUUACCUCCCACGAAGACCCUCCUCCAAUUCUGAGAAUGAAAACUUGACAUGAUAUUUGGGUGGGAUAACAGAGCAAAACCAUAUCAGGCCCAUUAUAAAUUUAAACAAGUAGUAGUAUAUAUAUAUACACACACACUUUUUGACAUGUUUUAGUACUGUCAUCUGAAAUAACAAGCAGUGGCUUAUAAAGUUUAUAUAUUUUUAUAAAUAAAAGUUUUAACUGAUACAUUUUCAUCCUGUCAACAAAAGAUCCAAAGGCUUUAAAUUUAUUAGUGGAGAAAAUUGGAGAUUACUUAUUCUGGUCAGAUUUGUUACUAGGAAAAUCAUCCUCCAGAAACACUGAGAUAUACUAGAUAAAAUAAAAACUUAACAUACAGUAGGCUAUACCAUAGUCAUGAAUGUAUAGGGAUAUUAUUAAUAUCAUUUCACUAAAUUGUUCUAUGUAAUAAAUGUGACACCAAAAUCUAAACAAUGUAUGUAACAAACUGUCUAAAAAGUGUAUAUGAAUAAAAAAGUCCUAAUAGAACCAAGAUAUUUAAAGAGUUGUUUAAAAUCUAUGGCUUUCACAGUAAGACAUUUACAUUAAUUAUAAAACUAUAAUAAUUAAAGCCAUGUGUCAUUGGCACAGGAAGAAAUGCAGAAAUGUAUCUAUAUAUAAUUGGAAAUUGGUAUAUCAAUUCUUAGGUAUGCUCCAAGUAAUUUUAUGUCACAAUACUAGUGUUAUUGCAGUAAUUAAAUCAUAAUUAUGUAAACUCAACAUGUAAUUUAACAGAAGUCUUCUUCCUCACACUCAGCACUGCUCCACAUUGAAAGCCUAUAGUGAGAAAAAAAUAAAAGGAUAUACUAGGCCAUGUGCUUCUC
rnacentral:lncRNA from 1 species